rnacentral:rRNA from 1 species
AUUGAACGCUGGCGGCAGGCCUCACACAUGCAAGUCGAACGAGUGGCGGACGGGUGAGUAAUGUCUGGGAAACUGCCUGAUGGAGGGGGAUAACUACUGGAAACGGUAGCUAAUACCGCAUACCAUCAGAUGUUUCCAGAUGGGAUUCGCUUUUUGGUGGGGUAACGGCUCACCAAGGCGACGAUCCCUAGCUGGGCUGAGAGGAUGACCAGCCACACUGCAACUGAGACAAGGUCCAGACUCCUACGGUAGGCAGCGGUGGGGAAUAUAGCACAAUGGGCGCAAGGCUGGGGCAGCCAUGCCGCGUGUAUGAAGAAGGCCUUCGGGUUGUAGAGUACUUUCAGCGGGGAGUCGUUACCCGCAGAAGAAGCACCGGCUAACUCCGUGCCAGCAGCCGCGGUAAUUC